rnacentral:rRNA from 1 species
GCCUAACACAUGCAAGUCGAGCGGAUGAAGGGAGCUUGCUCCUGGAUUCAGCGGCGGACGGGUGAGUAAUGCCUAGGAAUCUGCCUGGUAGUGGGGGAUAACGUCCGGAAACGGGCGCUAAUACCGCAUACGUCCUGAGGGAGAAAGUGGGGGAUCUUCGGACCUCACGCUAUCAGAUGAGCCUAGGUCGGAUUAGCUAGUUGGUGGGGUAAAGGCCUACCAAGGCGACGAUCCGUAACUGGUCUGAGAGGAUGAUCAGUCACACUGGAACUGAGACACGGUCCAGACUCCUACGGGAGGCAGCAGUGGGGAAUAUUGGACAAUGGGCGAAAGCCUGAUCCAGCCAUGCCGCGUGUGUGAAGAAGGUCUUCGGAUUGUAAAGCACUUUAAGUUGGGAGGAAGGGCAGUAAGUUAAUACCUUGCUGUUUUGACGUUACCAACAGAAUAAGCACCGGCUAACUUCGUGCCAGCAGCCGCGGUAAUACGAA